rnacentral:rRNA from 1 species
CCCUUAGAUGCUCUGGGCCGCACGCGCGCUACACUGGUCGAUGCAACGAGUUUCUUUCCUUGGCCGACAGGCCUGGGCAAUCUUUGAACAUCGAUCGUGAUCGGGAUAGAUUCUUGUAAUUUUUGAUCUUAAACGAGGAAUUCCUAGUAAACGCAAGUCAUCAGCUUGCACUGAUUACGUCCCUGCCCUUUGUACACACCGCCCGUCGCACCUACCGAUUGAAUGGUCCGGUGAAAUCUCCGGACUGGCGUGAGUCGGAGCAAUCUGACAAACACCGGAAAGUUGAUUAAACCUUACCAUUUAGAGGAAGGUGAAGUCGUAACA